AGAGUUUGAUCCUGGCUCAGGAUGAACGCUGGCGGCGUGCUUAACACAUGCAAGUCGAACGAACCUUCGGGUUAGUGGCGGACGGGUGAGUAACGCGUGGGAAUCUGCCCUCAGGAGGGGGAUAACGGCUGGAAACGGCCGCUAAUACCCCAUAUGCCGAGAGGUGAAAUGAAUUUCGCCUGAGGAUGAGCCCGCGUCUGAUUAGCUUGUUGGUGAGGUAAUGGCUCACCAAGGCUUCGAUCAGUAGCUGGUCUGAGAGGAUGAUCAGCCACACUGGGACUGAGACACGGCCCAGACUCCUACGGGAGGCAGCAGUGGGGAAUUUUCCGCAAUGGGCGAAAGCCUGACGGAGCAACGCCGCGUGAGGGACGAAGGCCUCUGGGCUUUAAACCUCUUUUCUCAAGGAGGAAGAUAUGACGGUACUUGAGGAAUAAGCCACGGCUAAUUCCGUGCCAGCAGCCGCGGUAAUACGGGAGUGGCAAGCGUUAUCCGGAAUUAUUGGGCGUAAAGCGUCCGCAGGCGGCCUUUCAAGUCUGCUGUUAAAACGUGGAGCUUAACUCCAUCAAGGCAGUGGAAACUGUUGGGCUUGAGUGUGGUAGGGGCAGAGGGAAUUCCCGGUGUAGCGGUGAAAUGCGUAGAUAUCGGGAAGAACACCAGUGGCGAAGGCGCUCUGCUGGGCCAUAACUGACGCUCAUGGACGAAAGCCAGGGGAGCGAAAGGGAUUAGAUACCCCUGUAGUCCUGGCCCGUAAACGAUGAACACUAAGUGUCGGGGGGAAUCGACCCCCUCGGUGUCGUAGCCCAACGCGUUUAGGUGUUCCGCCCUGGGGAGUACGCACGCAAGUGUGAAACUC
rnacentral:rRNA from 1 species